UACGUAGGGGGCGAGCGUUGUCCGGAUUUAUUGGGCGUAAAGAGCUCGUAGGCGGUUUGGUAAGUCGGGUGUGAAAUCUCCACGCUCAACGUGGAGGGGCCACUCGAUACUGCCAUGACUCGAGUCCGGUAGAGGAGUGUGGAAUUCCCGGUGUAGCGGUGAAAUGCGCAGAUAUCGGGAGGAACACCGAUGGCGAAGGCAGCUCGCUGGGACGGUACUGACGCUGAGGCGCGAAAGCGUGGGGAGCAAACAGG
rnacentral:rRNA from 1 species